rnacentral:rRNA from 1 species
GGUUAAGCGACUAAGCGUACACGGUGGAUGCCCUGGCAGUCAGAGGCGAUGAAGGACGUGCUAAUCUGCGAUAAGCGUCGGUAAGGUGAUAUGAACCGUUAUAACCGGCGAUUUCCGAAUGGGGAAACCCAGUGUGUUUCGACACACUAUCAUUAACUGAAUCCAUAGGUUAAUGAGGCGAACCGGGGGAACUGAAACAUCUAAGUACCCCGAGGAAAAGAAAUCAACCGAGAUUCCCCCAGUAGCGGCGAGCGAACGGGGAGCAGCCCAGAGCCUGAAUCAGUAUGUGUGUUAGUGGAAGCGUCUGGAAAGGCGCGCGAUACAGGGUGACAGCCCCGUACACAAAAAUGCACAUAUUGUGAGCUCGAUGAGUAGGGCGGGACACGUGGUAUCCUGUCUGAAUAUGGGGGGACCAUCCUCCAAGGCUAAAUACUCCUGACUGACCGAUAGUGAACCAGUACCGUGAGGGAAAGGCGAAAAGAACCCCGGCGAGGGGAGUGAAAAAGAACCUGAAACCGUGUACGUACAAGCAGUGGGAGCACGCUUAGGCGUGUGACUGCGUACCUUUUGUAUAAUGGGUCAGCGACUUAUAUUCUGUAGCAAGGUUAACCGAAUAGGGGAGCCGAAGGGAAACCGAGUCUUAACUGGGCGUUAAGUUGCAGGGUAUAGACCCGAAACCCGGUGAUCUAGCCAUGGGCAGGUUGAAGGUUGGGUAACACUAACUGGAGGACCGAACCGACUAAUGUUGAAAAAUUAGCGGAUGACUUGUGGCUGGGGGUGAAAGGCCAAUCAAACCGGGAGAUAGCUGGUUCUCCCCGAAAGCUAUUUAGGUAGCGCCUCGUGAAUUCAUCUCCGGGGGUAGAGCACUGUUUCGGCAAGGGGGUCAUCCCGACUUACCAACCCGAUGCAAACUGCGAAUACCGGAGAAUGUUAUCACGGGAGACACACGGCGGGUGCUAACGUCCGUCGUGAAGAGGGAAACAACCCAGACCGCCAGCUAAGGUCCCAAAGUCAUGGUUAAGUGGGAAACGAUGUGGGAAGGCCCAGACAGCCAGGAUGUUGGCUUAGAAGCAGCCAUCAUUUAAAGAAAGCGUAAUAGCUCACUGGUCGAGUCGGCCUGCGCGGAAGAUGUAACGGGGCUAAACCAUGCACCGAAGCUGCGGCAGCGACGCUAUGCGUUGUUGGGUAGGGGAGCGUUCUGUAAGCCUGUGAAGGUGUGCUGUGAGGCAUGCUGGAGGUAUCAGAAGUGCGAAUGCUGACAUAAGUAACGAUAAAGCGGGUGAAAAGCCCGCUCGCCGGAAGACCAAGGGUUCCUGUCCAACGUUAAUCGGGGCAGGGUGAGUCGACCCCUAAGGCGAGGCCGAAAGGCGUAGUCGAUGGGAAACAGGUUAAUAUUCCUGUACUUGGUGUUACUGCGAAGGGGGGACGGAGAAGGCUAUGUUGGCCGGGCGACGGUUGUCCCGGUUUAAGCGUGUAGGCUGGUUUUCCAGGCAAAUCCGGAAAAUCAAGGCUGAGGCGUGAUGACGAGGCACUACGGUGCUGAAGCAACAAAUGCCCUGCUUCCAGGAAAAGCCUCUAAGCAUCAGGUAACAUCAAAUCGUACCCCAAACCGACACAGGUGGUCAGGUAGAGAAUACCAAGGCGCUUGAGAGAACUCGGGUGAAGGAACUAGGCAAAAUGGUGCCGUAACUUCGGGAGAAGGCACGCUGAUAUGUAGGUGAAGUCCCUCGCGGAUGGAGCUGAAAUCAGUCGAAGAUACCAGCUGGCUGCAACUGUUUAUUAAAAACACAGCACUGUGCAAACACGAAAGUGGACGUAUACGGUGUGACGCCUGCCCGGUGCCGGAAGGUUAAUUGAUGGGGUUAGCCGCAAGGCGAAGCUCUUGAUCGAAGCCCCGGUAAACGGCGGCCGUAACUAUAACGGUCCUAAGGUAGCGAAAUUCCUUGUCGGGUAAGUUCCGACCUGCACGAAUGGCGUAAUGAUGGCCAGGCUGUCUCCACCCGAGACUCAGUGAAAUUGAACUCGCUGUGAAGAUGCAGUGUACCCGCGGCAAGACGGAAAGACCCCGUGAACCUUUACUAUAGCUUGACACUGAACAUUGAGCCUUGAUGUGUAGGAUAGGUGGGAGGCUUAGAAGUGUGGACGCCAGUCUGCAUGGAGCCGACCUUGAAAUACCACCCUUUAAUGUUUGAUGUUCUAACGUUGACCCGUAAUCCGGGUUGCGGACAGUGUCUGGUGGGUAGUUUGACUGGGGCGGUCU